rnacentral:rRNA from 1 species
CCUACGGGAGGCUGCAGUAGGGAAUUUUCCACAAUGGGCGCAAGCCUGAUGGAGCAACACCGCGUGAGUGAAGAAGGGUUUCGGCUCGUAAAGCUCUGUUGUUGGAGACGAACGUGCGUUAGAGUAACUGUUCACGCAGUGACGGUAUCCAACCAGAAAGUCACGGCUAACUACGUGCCAGCAGCCGCGGUAAUACGUAGGUGGCAAGCGUUAUCCGGAUUUAUUGGGCGUAAAGCGAGCGCAGGCGGUCGUUUAGGUCUGAUGUGAAAGCCUUCGGCUUAACCUAAGAAGGGCAUCGGAGACUGGGCGACUUGAGUGCAGAAGAGGACAGUGGAACUCCAAGUGUAGCAGUGGAAUGCGUAGAUAUAUGGAAGAACACCAGUGGCGAAGGCGGCUGUCUGGUCUGCAACUGACGCUGAGGCUCGAAAGCAUGGGUAGCGAACAGGAUUAGAUACCCGGGUAGUC